CUACGUGCCAGCAGCCGCGGUAAUACGGAAGGUCCGGGCGUUAUCCGGAUUUAUUGGGUUUAAAGGGAGCGUAGGCCGGAGAUUAAGUGUGUUGUGAAAUGUAGACGCUCAACGUCUGACUUGCAGCGCAUACUGGUUUCCUUGAGUACGCACAACGUUGGCGGAAUUCGUCGUGUAGCGGUGAAAUGCUUAGAUAUGACGAAGAACUCCGAUUGCGAAGGCAGCUGACGGGAGCGCAACUGACGCUUAAGCUCGAAGGUGCGGGUAUCGAACAGGAUUAGAUACCCUGGUAGUCCGCACAGUAAACGAUGGAUGCCCGCUGUUGGUACCUGGUAUCAGCGGCUAAGCGAAAGCAUUAAGCAUCCCACCUGGGGAGUACGCCGGCAACGGUGAAACUCAAAGGAAUUGACGGGGGCCCGCACAAGCGGAGGAACAUGUGGUUUAAUUCGAUGAUACGCGAGGAGCCUUACCCGGGCUUGAA
rnacentral:rRNA from 1 species